rnacentral:rRNA from 1 species
CCUACGGGUGGCAGCAGUGGGGGAUAUUGCACAAUGGGGGAAACCCUGAUGCAGCGACGCCGCGUGAGUGAAGAAGUAUUUCGGUAUGUAAAGCUCUAUCAGCAGGGAAGAAACUGACAGUACCUGACAAAGAAGCCCCGGCUAACUACGUGCCAGCAGCCGCGGUAAUACGUAGGGGGCAAGCGUUAUCCGGCGUUACUGGGUGUAAAGGGAGCGUAGACGGUGAUGUAAGGCUGGAGUGAAAGCCCGGGGCCCAACCCCGGGACUGCUUUGGAAACUGUGGAGCUGGAGUGCAGGAGGGGCAAGUGGAAUGCCUGGUGUAGCGGUGAAAUGCGUAGAUAUCAGGAGGAACACCAGCGGCGAAGGCGGCCUGCUGGACUGAAACUGACGUUGAGGCUCGAAAGCGUGGGGAGCAAACAGGAUUAGAUACCCGGGUAGUC